rnacentral:rRNA from 1 species
CGGCGGACGGGUGAGUAACGCGUGGGAAACCUGCCUUGUACAAGGGGAUAGCCUCGGGAAACCGGGAUUAAUACCCUAUGAAACCACAAGAACACAUGUUCUAAUGGUCAAAGCUCCGGCGGUACAAGAUGGUCCCGCGUCUGAUUAGCUAGUUGGAGAGGUAACGGCUCACCAAGGCGACGAUCAGUAGCCGGCCUGAGAGGGUGAACGGCCACACUGGAACUGAGACACGGUCCAGACUCCUACGGGAGGCAGCAGUGGGGAAUAUUGCACAAUGGGGGAAACCCUGAUGCAGCGACGCCGCGUGAGCGAAGAAGGCUUUCGGGUCGUAAAGCUCUGUCCUAAGGGAAGAUAGUGACGGUACCUUAGGAGGAAGCCCCGGCUAACUACGUGCCAGCAGCCGCGGUAAUACGUAGGGGGCGAGCGUUAUCCGGAAUUAUUGGGCGUA